GCUGGGCAUGGUUGUGCAUGCCUGUGGUCCCAGCUACCUGGGAGGCUGAGGUAGGAGGAUCGCUAGAGCCCAGGAAGUUGAUGCUGCGGUGAGCCAUUGAGUGUUUACCACUGCACUCCAACCUGGGUGACAAAGCGAGAUCCUGUCUCAA
rnacentral:SRP_RNA from 1 species